CAACACCCAACCACUGAGCCACACCAGCCAGUGUAUAUUAAGCUUUUGUCUGCUACUUUGUGGACUUAUCUCUGGUGUAAUAAGUCUUCAGUUGUGUCUAAUUUGCUGUUUA